GUCACUGUUACGUUUAUUUUUCAGAUGGUCAUUUAUAUGGGUGUUGGCAUCUAUACACCUGCUCUUGCAUUGAAUGCAGGGUGGGCUGAAGGCAGUGGUCUGGACCGAUGUUUUCCAGACAGUAGUGAUGUUUACUGGUCAGCUGGCUGUCAUCA